GGAUGAGCCCGCGGCCUAUCAGCUAGUUGGUGAGGUAACGGCUCACCAAGGCUAAGACGGGUAGCUGGUCUGAGAGGACGACCAGCCACACUGGAACUGAGACACGGUCCAGACACCUACGGGUGGCAGCAGUCGAGAAUUUUUCACAAUGGGGGAAACCCUGAUCCAGCCAUUCCGCGUGAGUGAAGAAGGCCUUCGGGUUGUAAAGCUCUUUUGUCCGGAACGAAACUGACGGUACCGGAAGAAUAAGCACCGGCUAACUACGUGCCAGCAGCCGCGGCCG
rnacentral:rRNA from 1 species